rnacentral:rRNA from 1 species
GACGAACGCUGGCGGCGUGCCUAAUACAUGCAAGUCGAACGCAGUGGGGACGGGUGAGUAACACCUGGGUAACCUCCCAUCAGAGGGGAUAACACUUGGCAACAGGUGCUAAACCGCUACUGAUGUAUGGACCCGCGGUGCAUUAGCUAGUUGGUGGGGGAACGGCUCACCAAGGCCACGAUGCAUAGCUGGCCUGAGAGGAUGAGCGGCCACACUGGAAUGGAGACACGGCCCAGACUCCUACGGGAGGCAGCAGUAGGGAAUCUUCGGCAAUGGACGAAAGUCUGAUCGAGCAACGCCGCGUGAGUGAAGAAGGUUUUCGGGUCGUAAAGCUCUGUUGGUGGGGAGGCGGUAUCUAACCAGAAAGCCACGGCUAACUACGUGCCAGCAGCCGCGGUAAUUC